rnacentral:lncRNA from 1 species
UUCCCAUGGUGGAAACUCGUGGUGGUGGUGCUGCUGCCCCACUUAUUAUCGCAUUUAGCCUCACGGAUCUCCGCAAUCCCAUUUCUUGAACAUUAGAAUUUUCACUUGUGGAAUUUUCUAAAUUUCUUUUUGUGCGAGAGUCUUCUACGAGUAUGGAUUUCAACUCUCAAUGAAAGCACCAAUUUGUGGAUGCAAAUUUCUUCCUCCUUGAUCUUGGACAAUUAACACCUUAGGUUAAGGCCAAGAGCCUCACGCACCCACGAUGAAUGGGGGGGCUUUGGCCGAAGAACCUUCGAUGCCAAAGUUAGAAUUUAGAGAGAAAGAGUGUUUAGAGAAUUUUGAGAUUUUUGCCAAAGUGUUGGAAUUAGUGUUUUGGUGAAAAUGGGAACCAAUUUAUAGGAGAGGAAAGGAUGGCCGGCCACUUAGUAGGGUUUUAGGUUUUGUUUUGGUUUAAUUAGCCAAUUAAUUGGCUAAUUAAACAUAAAAGGAAAUGCUUUUGUGGUUAUGGAAUUUAUUGGCUAAUAAAAAGGAAGAAAUGGUGAAAAAUGUAGAAAAGGUGAUGGAUGAGGUUUUGAAAUGGGGAUAGCCGGCCCUUUUGUGGGAGUUAGGGUAAAGUGAAAGGUCUAAAUGCUAAUUAAGAGAAUAAUUAGCUAAUUAACCCAUUAAUUAGCUAUUUAUCAUUAUUUUAGAAGGAAUGUUUUAGGAAUUAUGGAAUAAGUGUAGUAUUUAGCUAAUUGAUUAGCUAAAUAAUGAAAUAGGAAAUAUAUGAAUAAAUUAGGUUUUAAGUUGAUACCUAUUUUGGACACUUUUGACUUGGUUGAGGGAUAAUUGCCCGCUGCUUGCGCGUAGGAAUCCCGGUAUGCCCCAAGGGUAGUUUUGUCUUCUUUUGUCAAAAAUCCACAUGUCGCCUUGUAAAUAUUUUUGGCUCCACAGUAGCCCCUCAGGUUUGAGGGUAAAAUACAAUCCCAUACAACAUCUUUAAAACAUUUCACUUUCAUACAUCCAGUACCAUUUUAUUUCAAAAUAACACCUCCGUUAGAUUUUCCAUCCAUUAGUCUGUUAAUGCUGACAUGGCUGUCAAAUGUGUGUCACGUGGUAAAAAAAAUAAUUUAAAUUUUUUUAAAACCUAAAU